rnacentral:rRNA from 1 species
GCAUGUGUAAGUAUAAAUAAUUCUACUUUGAAACUGCGAAUGGCUCAUUAUAUCAGUUAUAGUUUAUUAGAAAUAAUUUACUACUUGGAUAACCGUAGUAAUUCUAGGGCUAAUACAUGAGUAAAUCCUCGACUUUGAAGAGGUGUGUUUAUUAGUAUGAAAACCAUAUGCUUUUGCAUAAUAGUGAGUAAUAAUAACCUUUCAUAUCGUAUGUUGUAAUAACGAUAGUUCUUUCAAGUUUCUGCCCUAUCAGCUUUCGAUGGUAGUGCAUUGGACUACCAUGGCAGUAACGGGUAACGAAGAAUUUGGGUUCGAUUUCGGAGAGGGAGCCUGAGAGAUGGCUACCACAUCCAAGGAAGGCAGCAGGCGCGUAAAUUACCCAAUCCUGACAUAGGGAGGUAGUGACAAUAAAUCACAAUGCGGGACUUUUAGUUUUGCAAUUGGAUUGAGAACAAUGUAAAAGAGUUAUCGAUAAACAAUUGGAGGGCAAGUCUGGUGCCAGCAGCCGCGGUAAUUCCAGCUCCAAUAGCGUAUAUUAACGUUGUU